GCAUUGGUGGUUCAGUGGUAGAGUUCACGCCUUCUGUGUGGGAGACCUGGGUUCAAUUCCCAACCAAUACA
rnacentral:tRNA from 1 species